rnacentral:rRNA from 1 species
AGCAUAUCAAUAAGCGGAGGAAAAGAAACCAACAGGGAUUGCCCUAGUAACGGCGAGUGAAGCGGCAACAGCUCAAAUUUGAAAUCUGGCCCACCGGCCCGAGUUGUAAUUUGUAGAGGAUGCUUCGGCGUUGGCCCCGGCCUAAGUUCCUUGGAACAGGACGUCGCAGAGGGUGAGAAUCCCGUACGUGGCCGGUGUCCCUCGCCAUGUGAAGCUCCUUCGACGAGUCGAGUUGUUUGGGAAUGCAGCUCUAAAUGGGAGGUAAAUUUCUUCUAAAGCUAAAUACCGGCCAGAGACCGAUAGCGCACAAGUAGAGUGAUCGAAAGAUGAAAAGCACUUUGGAAAGAGAGUUAAAAAGUACGUGAAAUUGUUGAAAGGGAAGCGCUUGCAACCAGACCUGCCCGCGGUCGCUCAUCCAGGCUCCCGCCUGGUGCACUCUUCCGCGGUCAGGCCAGCAUCGGUUCGGGCGGCCGGACAAAGGCGGCGGGAACGUGGCUCCCCUCGGGGAGUGUUAUAGCCCGCCGCGCAAUGCGGCCAGCCGGGACCGAGGUCCGCGCUUCGGCUAGGAUGCUGGCGUAAUGGUUGUAAGCGGCCCGUCUUGAAACACGGACCAAGGAGUCUAACAUCUGUGCGAGUGUUUGGGUGUCAAGCCCGAGCGCGCAAUGAAAGUGAACGGAGGCGGGAACCCUCGGGUGCACCGUCGACCGAUCCUGAUGUCUUCGGAUGGAUUUGAGUAAGAGCAUAGCUGUUGGGACCCGAAAGAUG